GAAUUCCCGAAGAUUGUCGUUCGUUGUUCGUCGUCACUGUUUUGAUUUCUUCUGUUAUCAAUCAAUGAAAUUUAGCGAAAAGGGAGGAUUCGUUCCCAAAUUUAAAGUAGUGUUUUCGUAAUUUGCCGGUUCAACUGAACACGUUCCGUUGAAUAGUUCUCCUGAACCUGUUCCGGGAUGUCGCUACUUUACAACACCGGUGAUUGGUUCUCGCUAGGCCAUGGCAACUCGUACAGGAAAAUCGAUCUCUACACCAUGGACUGGCCCGCCAGUAUCAAUCUGGAGCACAUGACGGUUCACGCCGCUCCGUAUGGUGGCCCGAUAGCGCUGGUAAAGGAUACGAAGCAGUUUCUUAAGCUGUCCGGUGGCGAAUCGACCAAACCCGUCAUCCGGAUUUUUAACUGUUCCGGCCGGCUGAUUUCGACGAUCAAUUGGGAUAACGGGAACAGUGGGAACCUGAUCUGCAUGGGUUGGUCCGAUGCGGAAGAAUUCCUCGUUGUCCAGGCGGAUGGAUCCGUGUGGCGCUACGACAUGUUCGGAAACUUUUUACACAAGUUCAGCAUGGGAGCGGACGUGACGGACGUGCAGGAUGCGAAGAUUUUCGCUUCCAGUUCGGGCACGGGAAUUGCGGUGCUGACGGCCAGCUGGAAGAUCUACAUCGUGAAUAGCGUGAUGGAUCCGAAGUUGAGGCCCCUGUCGGAACUGUUGUCACUCACUAGCGAUCUGACCUGCUGGGAGUUAGUUUCUAAAGAACGGAACACGUGCUGCCUUUUAGCUCGGGGAACGGACGUCAUCCUAGCGCGCCACGGCGACAGUGCUCCGACAACUCAUACCCUGAGCAUGAAGAGCGAAUACAGCAGCAUAAUUGCCAUGGCAGUUUCCUUCAAUCAUCGCCAUUUGGCAAUCUACACCAAUACCGGGGCCAUUUGGCUGGGAUCUGCAGAUCUUCGCACCAAAUAUUGCGAAUUUGCUACCGGUCGAACUGAACGUCCGCAGCAGAUUGGCUGGUGCUGCGAUGAAGAUCCCCAUCCAGACCGUCAGGCCGUAAUCGUUAGCUACGCCUCUAUGGUUCAGGUCAUCGGAAUGACCGGUGAUUCCAACAUCUAUACGUACGAUUCGCGAACGGUGUUAAUCCCGGAAAUGGACGUGGUCCGGGUAUUGACCAACACUUCUCACGAGCUCUUUCAGCGAGUGCCGCAAUGCACGAGCAAAAUUUUCGGAAUCACAAUCUCCGAGCCGGCCAGUUUCCUAUUCGAGGCUCACAUGGAAUUUCAGAAGCGCAGUCACAAGUCGGACGAGUUCCUGUGCCUGAUUCAGGACCGGUUGGCGUCGGCUGUGGGCGAAUGUGUGGAUGCAGCCGGACAGGAGUUUGAUUCGCACACCCAGAAGAGUCUGAUUCGGGCGGCUCACUUUGGGAAGAGUUUCCUGCCGGGAUACAACCCGGACGGGUACAUCGAGAUGUGCCGGGUGCUGAGAGUGCUGAAUGCGCUGCGGGAACCGAUCGUCGGGAUGCCGCUGACGCUGAGGCAAUUCAAUCAUUUGCAGCCGUUGGUCAUAUUGGAUCGGCUGAUCUUCCGAAAGCACUACGCGCUAGCGAUUCAGAUUGCCAAGCAUCUGAAGCUGCCGGAGUCGAGGAUUCUGGAGCAUUGGGCUUUCCAUAAAAUUGAACAUGACAAAAAUGACGAGGAAGUGGCCCGAAAGAUCUCCGAUAAGUUCCGCCACCACCCGAUGGGCGAUCGAGAGCGCAUAUCCUUUGCCAACGUUGCUAAAAAGGCUCAGCAGAAGGGCCGUAACAAACUGGCCAUCACCCUUUUAGAACAGGAACCGCGCAAAAGUCUUCGGGUCCCGUUGCUGCUGGAGCUGGAUGCCAGUGAAAAAGCCCUAACGGCUGCCACCCAAUCGGGCGAUACCGACCUGAUCUACAUGGUGAUCCUGAAGAUGAAAAGUACGACAGCGCUAAGCAAGUUCCAGAUGAUCAUCCGACGGUUCCCGUUGGCGCACGAUCUGUAUAAGAAGUACUGCCAGACGAACAGUCUGUCCACAUUGAAGGACAUCUACUCACAGGAAGAUGACUUCCAAGCCCAGGCGGAGCUAGGAUUGAGGGAAGCGCUGGAAGUCAACAACGUUGAAGUGUCGAUACCGGAAAUCAGCGUAAACUACAAGAAAGCCAAUCGGAUGCUGGAAGCGGAUGCCUGUGAUGAAGCUAAAAAGCUGAUGAAACACCAAAAAGUUCUGGACGAAAAGUACCAGAAACGCCUCUACGGCCUCCCGCUGCACGAAACCAUCCGCCAGCUCCUUCUCCUCGGAGACAUCAAGUAUGCCGAUCGAUUGAAGAGUGAGUUCAAGGUACCGGAGCGACGCUACUGGUGGCUCCGGAUUUCCGUCCUCUCCCAGCAGUUCCAGUGGGAUGAGCUGGAAAAGUUUGCCAAAUCCAAGAAAAGCCCCAUCGGCUAUGAACCGUUCGUGGAGGUUUGUCUCAAGCAGAGCAACCUCGAGCAGGCCAAAAAAUAUCUCCCACGGUGCAGCGAGGAGAACAAGUUCAACUGGUAUCUGAAGGCGGGUUGUCUGCUGGAGGCGGCCGCCAUCGCGUACGAUCAGAAAGACAUGGACGGACUGUGGCGGGUCCAUGGUCGGUGUACGGCUGAUCCGGCUUUGUUGGCUAAGGUGGAUAAUUUGAUCGGGCAGCUGGCGUCGAAGAAGUGAACGUAGGGAGGCGUUUUGGAUUUCUUUAGAUGAAUAAGUUGAUCUGCGAUGAGCUGUGGCUUCUUUACAAGACAUUCCUUCAAGGAUUGCUCGAUAUUGGAAGAUUUAUCUUCCCUUCUUGUGUCUACCGUGGAUCCUCGUCCACAGGGCUGCUACCGCACUACUACAACGUUGUCGUAUAAAACAUCCAUCGAAAAGGGUCUGGGUUACUAGAGCCUCAAAGAUAACACGAUUGCAUGAAUGGUUCGAUGUCAUCAAAGAAAUGAAGACGUGUCUCCUUCCAUCCAUGGAUUAUCGGUAUGGAAUUGAUAUUCAAGAUUACCGAAUUGCAGUGGCGAUCUCAGGCCUCUUUUGGUCAUGUGAUGACAAAAAUAGUUGAUUUCGACACAGUUGCUGGUAAUUUGCUUGUUUGAUAAAGACAAGACAUUGCAACAGAUAACGGAAAUAUCUGUCUACAGCGUAGAAAAGAAGGUAAGCUAUGCAAGAUUCUCUUACAUUUGUUUAAAUAUUAGAAUAUGACAUUAAGCUUU